GCCAGGGGACGGUUGGCAGCCCGAUCCGUUGCCACGACAGACGACAGAACUGGACACCGGAAUCCGAACAACACUGAAACACUGGAAAACUCAUCCCCAUUGCGUCUGCUGUUUUCUGUCGACCAAACGUGUGCCAAACACACACACACACACACACACACACACACACAUACACACACGCGCACACACAAAGACACAGGGUAAGGAAAAGGUUUGGUGUAUGUUUUGGUAUGGUGUCAUUUUAAACACAAAUGACGUUUGAUGGUGGGUUCACCUCACGUGGAUGAAGGCUGACGGUCUGAUCUGUGAACAUGUGACUCCGCAGGAGGUCACGAUGCUGAACUGCCUGCUCUUUCUAUGUAUAUUAUUCCAACAUUAUUAUCACGACACUCAUAUUUUAAUAAAAAAAAAUAUUUUCAG